AUGAUAAAAUUAUUAGUUUUGUUAUUUUUAAGUUAUUAUUUUUAAAUUAUUAUUUAUUUUAUUAAUUAUUUUGAAAUGAUUUUUUUUAUUAUAGUUUAUUAGUACUGAAAAGGAAUUUUUAUUUUAUUUUAUAAGAAAUAUUUAUUUUUUGUACCUUGGGUAUCAGGGUUUAUUUAUUUAUAUUUAUAUUUUUAAUUUUCCCGAAUUAAGAAGAGCUAAUUUAGAAUAUAUUUUAUUGUAAAAUAAAUAUUUAAAAUUUUAUUUUAGUUGUGAUAUGCAAUUCAAUUCUUAUUAUAUCUGGUUUUUUAUUAAACAAGUUUAAUUUGUCUAUUAUUUUUUAAAUUUUUAAAUUUUUAGUAAUUUAUUUUAAUAGAAAUAUUAAAGGGGAUGAGCUUUUUAAUAUAUUAUAAAAAUUUUUUUUUAUUUUACAAUUAUUUAGGAUUAAAAAUUUCCAAUUUUAAGAUUUUUUUAUAAUUUUUUUGUUGUUUUUAGAAUUUAUAUAAAAUUUUAUUUUUUUAAUAAAAUUAUUUUUUAAAUUAUUUAUGAAAUUUAAUAAUGAUAGAAUUAGUAUUUUUAUUUGUUAUUGAGUGUUUAUUUUAAUUUAGAUAAAGGAAUUCGGCAAAAUUUUACUCACCUGUUUAUUAAAAACAUGUCUUUUUGAUUAUAAUUUAAAGUUUGGCCUGCCCAAUGAUUUAUUUAAUGGCUGCAGUAUUUUGACUGUACAAAGGUAGCAUAAUCAAUAGUUUCUUAAUUGGAAGCUGGAAUGAAAGGUUUGAUGAAGUAAAUUCUGUCUCUAUUUAAAAAUGAAAAAUUUAUUUUUAAGUUAAAAAGCUUAAAUUUUUAAAGAAGACGAUAAGACCCUAUAGAGUUUUAUAAUUUAUAUAAUAUAUAUUAUAAGAAUUAAAUUUUAUAUUUUUUAAUUUAUUUUGUUGGGGUGACUGAAAAAUUUAUUUAACUUUUUUUUAUUUCUACAUUUUAUAUGGGUUUUUGAUCCUUUUUUAAGAUUAUAAGAUAAACUACCUUAGGGAUAACAGCGUAAUUUUUUUUGAGAGUUCUAAUCGAAAGAAAAGUUUGCGACCUCGAUGUUGGAUUAAAAUUUAUGUUUGGUGCAGAAGCUUUAACAUUAGGUCUGUUCGACCUUUAAAAUUUUACAUGAUCUGAGUUUAGACCGGCGUGAGCCAGGUUGGUUUCUAUCUCUUUAAAUAUAAAAUUUUUUAGUACGAAAGGACCAAAAAUUUAAUUAAUAAUUUUAUUUUUGACAUAAUUUAUUA
rnacentral:rRNA from 1 species